rnacentral:rRNA from 1 species
CAGUCGCCGCGGUAAUACGAAGGGGGCUAGCGUUGCUCGGAAUCACUGGGCGUAGAGGGUGCGUAGGCGGGUUUCUAAGUCAGGGGUGAAAUCCUGGAGCUCAACUCCAGAACUGCCCUUGAUACUGGAAGUCUUGAGUAUGGGAGAGGUGAGUGGAACUGCGAGUGUAGAGGUGAAAUUCGUAGAUAUUCGCAAGAACACCAGUGGCGAAGGCGGCUCACUGGCCCAUAACUGACGCUGAGGCACGAAAGCGUGUGGAGCAAACAGGAUUAGAGACCCCUGUAGUCCCUGUCUCUUAUAC